UUAGGAAUUUUGGGCAAUGGCCGCAAGGCUGACCCAGCAACGCCGCGUGGGGGACGAAGGCCUUCGGGUCGUAAACCCCUUUUCCCGGGGACGAUGAUGACGGUACCCCGGGAAUAAGCCCCGGCUAACUACGUGCCAGCAGCCGCGGUAAUACGUAGGGGGCGAGCGUUGUCCGGAUUCAUUGGGCGUAAAGCGCGCGUAGGCGGCUUCGCAAGUCGGCCGUGAAAUCUCCGGGCUCAACUCGGAGGGGUCGGGCGAGACUGCGGGGCUCGAGGUGGGCAGAGGGCAGUGGAAUUCCGGGUGUAGUGGUGGAAUGCGUAGAGAUCCGGAGGAACACCAGUGGCGAAGGCGGCUGCCUGGGCCUGGCCUGACGCUGAGGCGCGAAAGCGUGGGGAGCAAUCCGGAUUAGAUACCCGUGUAGUCC
rnacentral:rRNA from 1 species